rnacentral:rRNA from 1 species
UAGAUACUUGAAAAUUAAAAGAUUUGGCGGUGAUUUAAUCUUAUUAGAGGAACUUGUUUUAUAAUCGAUAAUCCACGAAUAAUCUUACUUGUUUUUGUGAAUAGCUAGUUUGUAUACCGUCAUUAUCAGGUAAUUCUGUUGAAAAAGAUAAAUUUCUAAAAUUAAUUGGUUGUUAAAAUUAGAUCAAGGUGCAGCUUAUAAACAAGUAAAAAUGAGUUACAAUAAAUUAUUUUAACUACGGAUUAGUUGAAUAUAAUAUUACUAUGAAGGAGGAUUUAAUUGUAAUGUAAGUUUAAUAAGCUUACGAGAAAUAAGCUCUAAAUCAUGUACAUAUCGCCCGUCGCUUCCGUUUAUAGACGGAAUAAGUCGUAACAUAGUAGGUGUACCGGAAGGUGGACCUAGAAUUAUAA